rnacentral:rRNA from 1 species
UACGUAGGGUGCGAGCGUUGUCCGGAAUUAUUGGGCGUAAAGAGCUUGUAGGCGGUUUGUCGCGUCUGCUGUGAAAAAUCCGGGGCUCAACCCCGGACUUGCAGUGGGUACGGGCAGACUAGAGUGUGGUAGGGGAGACUGGAAUUCCUGGUGUAGCGGUGAAAAUGCGCAGAUAUCAGGAGGAACACCGAUGGCGAAGGCGGGACUCUGGGCCGAUACUGACGCUGAGGAGCGAAAAGCGUGGGGGAGCAAACAGG